GGCCCUGUAGUCUAAUGGCAGAACACAUCGUUUACGCCGAUGGGGCGGAGGUUCGAUUCCUCCCAGGGCCA
rnacentral:tRNA from 1 species